GAUGAACGCUGGCGGCGUGCUUAACACAUGCAAGUCGAACGGGAAACCUUUUAAUGAAGCUUCGGCAGAUUUAGCUGGUUUCUAGUGGCGGACGGGUGAGUAACGCGUGGGUAACCUGCCUUAUACAGGGGGAUAACAGUCAGAAAUGACUGCUAAUACCGCAUAAGCGCACAGGACCGCAUGGUCUGGUGUGAAAAACUCCGGUGGUAUAAGAUGGACCCGCGUUGGAUUAGCUUGUUGGUGAGGUAACGGCUCACCAAGGCGACGAUCCAUAGCCGGCCUGAGAGGGUGAACGGCCACAUUGGGACUGAGACACGGCCCAGACUCCUACGGGAGGCAGCAGUGGGGAAUAUUGCACAAUGGGGGAAACCCUGAUGCAGCGACGCCGCGUGAAGGAAGAAGUAUCUCGGUAUGUAAACUUCUAUCAGCAGGGAAGAUAGUGACGGUAC
rnacentral:rRNA from 1 species